GACAGAGGGUGCAAACGUUGUUCGGAAUUACUGGGCGUAAAGCGCGUGUAGGCGGCUAUGCAAGUCGGAUGUGAAAGCCCGCGGCUCAACCGUGGAAGUGCAUCCGAAACUGCGUGGCUAGAGUCCCGGAGAGGAAGGUGGAAUACUUGGUGUAGAGGUGAAAUUCGUAGAUAUCAAGUGGAACACCGGUGGCGAAGGCGGCCUUCUGGACGGUGACUGACGCUGAGACGCGAAAGCGUGGGUAGCAAACAGGAUUAGAAACCCCCGUAGUCC
rnacentral:rRNA from 1 species